UUCUUUAUUUUAAAUUUUUUUUUAUUUAAGUAGUGUAAAUAUAAUUUAUUAAUUAAUAUUAGUAUUUGAAACUUAAAAAGCUUGGCGGUGCUAUAUAUCCAUUUAGGGGAGCUUGUUUAUUAAUUUGAUAAUCCUCAAUUAACUCUUACUUUUUUUUGAAUAUUUAACAGUUUGUAUAUUGCUGUCGUCAGUUUAUUUCGUGAGAAUUUUUAAAAAACUUAGGAGUAGAUUUACUAGCAUGUCAAGUCAAAAUGCAGCUAAUAGGAAAGGUGAAAUAGAAUGAGCUACGAUUUAUAAUUUUAAAUUGGAUUAAAUAAUGUAAAUGUAUUUUUGAAAUUGGACUUAAUAGUAAGGUAAAGAAUUAAAGGUUUAUAUGAAUCAGGUUUUAUAGCGCG
rnacentral:rRNA from 1 species